rnacentral:rRNA from 1 species
CCCUUAGAUGUUCUGGGCCGCACGCGUGCUACACUGAGUAAAUCAAUGGGUAAGGGAACACGAAAGUGCAACCUAAUCUUGAAAUUUGCUCGUGAUGGGGAUCGACGGUUACAAUUUUCCGUCGUGAACGAGGAAUACCUUGUAGGCGCGUGUCAUCAUCACGCGCCGAAUACGUCCCUGCCCUUUGUACACACCGCCCGUCGCUCCUACCGAUUGAGUGAUCCGGUGAGGCUCUGGGACCUGGACGGAAAGAGCGUUUCGCUUGUUCUGUUUGGGAAACUUGGUCGAACCUUAUCAUUUAGAGGAAGGAGAAGUCGUAACA